rnacentral:rRNA from 1 species
CAGCCGCCGCGGUAAUACAGAGGGUGCGAGCGUUAAUCGGAUUUACUGGGCGUAAAGCGUGCGUAGGCGGCUUUUUAAGUCGGAUGUGAAAUCCCUGAGCUUAACUUGGGAAUUGCAUUCGAUACUGGGAAGCUAGAGUAUGGGAGAGGAUGGUAGAAUUCCAGGUGUAGCGGUGAAAUGCGUAGAGAUCUGGAGGAAUACCGAUGGCGAAGGCAGCCAUCUGGCCUAAUACUGACGCUGAGGUACGAAAGCAUGGGGAGCAAACAGGAUUAGAUACCCCCGUAGUCCCUGUCUCUUAUAC